UUCCGUGUACUUUCAGGAUUUCCCUCUGUUUCAGCCUCCUGUUAUAAGCCAUGAAACAGCAUAUUCUUAUUUAUUGGCAAAGUUGUCUCUGUUUAUCUGGUGUCUGUUUCUCAUUUGCCCAAGUAACGUUC